AGCCGUGGGCCGUGGUUUAGGAGGAUCAAAGACGGGGAGGGAUGUGGCUGCAAGUUACUGGGAAGAAAGAGCGGGCAGCGGCCCCGAAAGAGAAACAGUUGCUGCUGAUCAGUUACAGGGGCUUGCCGCCUUGCCUUCCCCCUUAGAAACUCCCGGAAGGCCUCUGACCUUCUCUUCUCUCUUCGGUCUCCUGAGCUCCCUCCCAUGCUGCACGCCCCCACCUAUUGCCACAAGGCAGUUGUCCCCGCCAUCCCCAGACCCACCCCCGGAGCAUCGCCAGAUUUAGGGCUCUGCGCCCGAGCACCAGGGCUGGCUGCUCCGGGACUCGCUCCUCCAGCCCCGCCGCGGGCUCCGCAUUGCGGCGGUGCGGGCGCCGAACCUCCCAGCGAGCUUUCCCGGCUGGGAUCUGCAGUGCGGUGCCCGCCCCGCCGCCUCCCUGCCCCCGCACGCCCCCUGGGGCCCUGCGCCUAGCUGCUGCCGGCGGGUUGCAUAAGCCCGGCGCGCACGGGCGCUGAAUUCAGCUUCCCGGUCAUCCAAACUCCUGGCCAGACGGUGAAAGCUUGCGAUGCUGCUGGACCGUCCUCCCCUCUGCAGCUGUCAAAAAGCCGCGCCCUGAGACAACAAAUCCAGCCGCGGCAAAUACCCUGUGACAGAUGAGAGAAUAUUUGCUCCUUGAGGAGAGGCGAGGAAGAGGGACAUCUCUUCAUGAACAGCCCCAAAACAAGUAAACAUUGUCACAAUUUCAGAUCUGAAAACAGUAAAGCCCCCCGUGCAGGGACUUCACAAAGUUAAGCUCUGGAGGUGGCAGAAAUUUUGUGAAAUUAUUCUGGGGAAACUGUUUCCCUCUCACUGCAAAGGAGAGGAGAAUCUACCUCUGAGUCAGCGAGGGUUUGACAUUGAGAAGGGAAUUUAAGGGUCUUCAAGUGUCUUUAUGUUUGGGUUUGCCCUUAAUUCUUUUCCUUCACUUCGACAGCAUUGCAGGACGAGGAUGGCCGCACUCCAGCUUUAUGUCGUGGUCACAGAGUAAUUGUUAAGAACAGUGCUCCCUUUGACUUCCAAAGGUGUCUCAGUUUACACAACAAUGUGGUCAGCAUAGAACAGAUGCAUCCAUCAUCUGAGUCACUGGGCUGGAUGCUGGUAAAGAUAAAAAAAAAAAUCAUUAACACAGAGACGCCGCCUUUGAGUGAUAGUGUAGUACAGAAGAUCAAACAUAUACACGGCACGUUUCUGGUUUGUCAGGCAUAAUCUUGGUAACCUACGUGCGUCUGCAUUUUCUACUUGUUACCUGUGUCUCCUUUCUUUGCUUCUCUACGUGAGCUUGAGGGGUGUUUGGUGGCAGGAUGGAGUGCUAAUUUAAUUGAGGAAGACAUAUCAGUGAGGAUCUGAGCCCAUUGCUAGAAAGGCCUACAGACACUCGUGAAAAGGACUCUGGUCCCUCAGAACAAGACAAUCCCUGCAUGGCAAGUGCUAGGUGAACACCAUGGAGUCUUAAAGGGAAAAGAGGUGAGAUGGGCUCUGGAGGGACAAGGAGAGGUCUUUUGCAGGAAGUGAGGGUGAACCGGGUCUUGCGAUGAGCAGGAGGAUGGCUCUUCCAGAAAAGACCACGCUAUACAGACAGAGCUUGGGCCUUAGAAGAAGUUCUGGGACCCCAGAUGGGGCACAAAAGCAGCGGCGUGAUUCCAUUGCCGGGGAUUAGAGGAGACAGUCACGUGGACACAACUGGGGGAUGUCCCAAUGGUGGCUGUAUGGAACAGCAGAUGCCAGUGUGAACCGAGCACUGGAUGACCCUUGCUCCCAUGCGAUGGCUUUCCCAUAUCUCCUCAAGUUAGACUAAACCCUAGGAUGAUAACGGCGGUGGGGAGAGAAGACUCCAAGUUGGCUGAGAAGACACUGCCCCAUCCUAGCAAAACAGGGCUUGAAAUUAACAUUGGAGAGAGAUUUGGAAAGCAAAGAAAACUAGGUUUCUCGUAUACUUCUGUUUGUAGACUGAAAUGUACACUUGCUAUUUGUGUCUCUGUGAUGAUCUCAAAGAUGACAAACUCACUAACUGUUCAUGCCGCUGGCUUGGGAAGGGGGCAGGGGACACGCUUGUCUCCAGGGCCCAUCAUCAGUCCUGUGGUACAUGUGACGUAAGAGAUUGACUUGCAAAGCGGGGGUUGCGCAACAGAACAAGGUGGGUCUGGACGCUUUCCUACCAUCAAACUUACCAUUUGCCUCAGUUCCUCCUGAACCCGAUGGACAGUUUUCCCUGCGGUGCUAAAUUUGACAUUUCCGUCCCCUCAUAAGCGUAAAAGUGGAGGUGUCAGAGCAAACAAAAGAUUUCUUUUAAUGAUGGAAUUAAAUGCGUAUUAUACCGGUCAGCAUACAUGUUGCUUUGUUUCACGGAGCCUGUGAGUAUCGUGUAUAUAACUACACGUUUCCAAAAAUAAAUACAUAUUAUAAGAAGA